rnacentral:rRNA from 1 species
GGGUACGCACUGGGGUCCCAAUCAGGGGAAUCCGGGUUACCCCAACUCCCUAAAUUUAGCUUAUCCUGGGGCGAGGGAUCCGAGUGAGUGAAUUGUAGUUUCGAAGACACAGUGCGAGGCGCUCCUGACAGUAUGCGUGAGUUGGAAACGUGGAGCAACAGGAUAGUCCCCUGUAUCACGCCGUUACGAGAUACUACUGUCUGGCACACGUGCUUGGUGCGCACAUAUACACUAUAUAUCUCUCGUGAGUACGUGUCACGAUUAUACUCAUAGGAGUGUCGCGGCGUGCUCAAGAGCGGAGCACAUGUGUAUAUUUAGCAGCACGCAGAGAUCCUCACAUCUUGACUCAUGGUGGCGGGGAUGAGAGAUAUCUCUCUCUCAUUUGGGGUGGCACAGUCACAGGUGGCACAUGUCUGUUCUCAUCUCGUCUCGUGAGAUGUUGGUAUAUGUCGCGCAGCGAGCGCACCUCUUCUCUUUAGUUCCCCUCAUUUAGUUGGGAUCUAUAAGGAAACCCCCGGUGAUAAGCCGGAGGAAGGUGGGGAUGACGUACAAGUCUUCAGUGGCCUCUUCCGAGGUCUGGGCUCACACACCUGUGCUCACAAGUGGGCGAUGCACAGUGGCGCAGGCGAAUCUCGCGAGGGGUGACGCUAAUCUCCAAAAGUCGUUUCAGUUCGGAUUGUUUUCUGCAACUCGAGAGCAUGAAGGCGGAAUCGCUAGUAAUCGCGGAUCAGCAUGCCGCGGUGAAUACGUUCCCAGGCCUUGUACACACCGCCCGUCACGCCAUGGGAGUUGGGUUCACCCGAAGGCGUUGCGCUAACUCGCAAGAGAGGCAGGCGACCACGGUGGGCUUAGCGACUGGGGUGAAGUCGUAACGAGGUAGCCGUAGGGGAACCUGCGGCUGGACACCUCCUUAAGCGUGGAUCCCGGG